rnacentral:rRNA from 1 species
CCAACCCUUUGUGAACCUACCUAUGUUGCCUCGGCGGUCGGCCCCGGGGGUGACCUACCCUGUAGCGAGCUACCCUGUAGCGACCUACCCUGUAGUGACUUACCCUGUAGUGACCUACCCUGUAGUGAUCUGCUUGCCGGGCGCCGCCCGUCGGCGGCCUCUCAAACUCUGUUAAUUUUGUGGGCUUUCUGAGUAAUAUCGCGAAUAAAUUAAAACUUUCAACAACGGAUCUCUUGGUUCUGGCAUCGAUGAAGAACGCAGCGAAAUGCGAUAAGUAAUGUGAAUUGCAGAAUUCAGUGAAUCAUCGAAUCUUUGAACGCACAUUGCGCCCAUUAGUAUUCUAGUGGGCAUGCCUGUUCGAGCGUCAUUUCAACCCAUCAAGCCCUGUUUGCUUGGCGUUGGGAGAUUGGCGGGCCCCGCGGCCCGCCAACUCCUCAAAUCGAUCGGCGGAGUCGCGGCGACCCUCAGCGUAGUAGUCAUAUCCUCGCUCUAGGCGUCGGCGCGGGCUUUCCGGCCGCUAAACCCAGACUUUUUAGUGAAUCUAGUCUUGACCUCGGAUCAGGUAGGAGUACCCGCUGAACUUAAGCAUAU